rnacentral:rRNA from 1 species
GACGAACGCUGGCGGCAUGCCUAACACAUGCAAGUCGAACGGUAAGGCCCCUUCGGGGGUACACGAGUGGCGAACGGGUGAGUAACACGUGGGUAACCUGCCCUUCACUGGGGGACAACCGAGGGAAACUUCGGCUAAUACCGCAUGAUGUGCGCUUUCACAAGGAGGCGUACCAAAACUCCGGUGGUGAAGGAUGGGCCCGCGGCAGAUUAGCUUGUUGGUGGGGUAAAGGCCUACCAAGGCGACGAUCUGUAGCUGGUCUGAGAGGACGAUCAGCCACACUGGGACUGAGACACGGCCCAGACUCCUACGGGAGGCAGCAGUGGGGAAUCUUGCGCAAUGGGCGAAAGCCUGACGCAGCAAUGCCGCGUGAGGGAAGAAGGCCUUAGGGUUGUAAACCUCUUUCAGCAGGGACGAAAACAGACGGUACCUGCAGAAGAAGCCCCGGCUAACUACGUGCCAGCCGCCGCCGUAACAC